ACAGCUUGACGAAGACGACACCCCUGGCUUGAUUGCCUCGAGGGAGGCGCCAAAUCAGCAGAUCCCAUUUCAGAAGCCCGAAUUUGGAGUUUCUUCCUUUGCCCCCACAGACACACAAUUCCUCGAAGGAAAAAAAAACAGAGACAAAACAGAGCGCAGAGGAACAGGAGGGAGAGAGAGAGAGAGAGAGAGAAUCCGAGAAGAGAACAGAUCUUCCUUAUCUGUGCCCACCACUUAUUUUCACUCCCCCUUCAUCCCCACCCCCCCCACCAGCAGCAUAAUCGCCAUACGUACUGAGUCACUUUGGUUUCUUAACGUAUCGAGCUCAGUCUGCGGUGGCCUUCCUCUGUUUUCUGCAGCAAUGGAGAUGGACGUGGCCGGGAGGGCGAGCAAAGUGGGCGGCGAUGGAGUGAUCAGAGGCUCCGUCUGGGAGACCCGGAUGAGGAUGGACCAGGUUAAAGGCGGAAUCAAGGUCUUUGGUGUGCUAGACCAAGAAGACGAAGGAGACAGAGGAGGAGCUAUACGCAUUGAGCAUGAGAAACGAGACGGAGAAGAGGAAGAAAUGGGUGUUAUGGCGGACAAGAACACAAUCCCGCUGAGGAGAAUUGGAGUCAGGGGAGGGAAGAGGAGGACGUGGAAGCCUCAGCCGGAGACCUUCGAGGGUCCGAUUCGGGUCAUCGGCGAAAAGCCAGAUAGGACUGACGGCAGCCCGAUUGAGCUGCCGAAGUCAAGAUCUGAGUCAACCGGCGGCCCGCAGGAGAAAGACUCAGCCGAAACCAGGAAGGGAAAGUUGGAAUCUUUGCAGAAAACGGGGGAGAAGAUCAACAAUGGCAUUGUCUCCGGUGAGUCGGCGGAGGUUUCCGAAAAUGGGGCGUGGAAGCAGUCUAGUGGGUCUCCAGAAAAGGUCAUAGUGAUGAACAGUAGAAAGAAAAUGACUGCCAAAACGAAGAAGCCUCCCACUCAUCAUGUGGGUCAGUUCAAGAUUGGUCCCCAGGAGUUGGGGCGCAAUGAUGGUGGUAAUGAUGAAGAAGAAGAGGAAGACGAAUUCUUCGACAUAAAGGAAAUCAGCGUUGCAGAACAGAAACCCAAGACCCCUGUUCUCGAGGAGAAUAAGGUUCGGGUUAGCCUGUUCAGGGAAAAGCCAACAAAGCCCAUUUCUGCUCCUGUCAUCAAACAACAGCCUUGCCCUUCUCCUGUUUCGAAACGUCCGACGGUUCAGCCGAGUUUCGCCAAGGACUCUUCUCAUGAAUGCAAGAAUGAUUCUAAGAGGCAGAACAGAGUCCACAAUCUAUCGGAUAUGGUUAUGUGGAGAGAUGCACCGAAAUCAGCAGUUGUCUUAGGAUUGGGGACACUCUUCAUAAUCUCCUCCUCCUACAUGAAUGAUCCCAAUAUGUGCUCCGUUUCUGCGGUGUCUUACCUGGGUCUGGCCUGUCUCUCUGCAGUAUUUCUGUACAGAUCCAUCAUUUGGAGUGGUGAUGUCGAUGUUGAUAAUAUAUCAUUCCAUGAACUGGGAGAGGAAGAAGUACUCUGCUUAACCAAAACACUACUACCUUACUUGAAUGGAUUACUUAGAAAGUUGAGAGCUCUUCUUUCUGGAGACCCCGCAAAUACGAUGAAGUUGGCAGUUCUGCUCUUUGUCUUGGCAAGGUGUGGAAGCUUCGUCACCAUGUGGAACAUGAUCAAGUUUGGAUUUUUCAUAGCAUUCACCAUUCCAAGACUCUGGUCUCUGUAUUCCACCCGAUUGACCGAUCAAGGUAAAUACUGGAUCCAACUUUCACAACAUAUGUGGGACUCAUGCCCUCACAAGAAAGCUGUGGCCGCCAUUGUUAUUGUUCUCAUAUUGGGAUUUUCUUCCAACUUCGCGAGAAUUUGGACAGGAUUCAUGCUUGUUGUGGCCUUUAGAUAUUACCAACAAUCGCUAGUAAGAGAUCGCCGUUCAGAGACUAAUGGAGGAGCUGAAGAGAAGUGGGAAGGGCAAAGGCCCAUUUUCCCAAGGGUGCAUAUGUCAUCUGAGGUCCAUCCCAGCUAAUGGGUCGGGAAGGAGAAGAGAUAAAGGGAUUCACAAUGAGUUGCUUAUGUGUAUCCCGAGUUGAAAUUGGAUAGGCUCACGAGGGAUCAAACUCUCAAGCGAAGGGAAAUGAACGGACUGAGUUUUCAACUCUACCGAAAUCAGGGGAAUUUUGCAGUAGUUGGAUCAGUAUAAAAGAGAUGUUUUUGGACGAGCGAAAGAGUUCUUGGAGUUGGAGGAAAUUAUUGUGAUGUAGACCAUAAGGCCAGCCAGCUACAAAAUUGGUAACGGUGAGACGCUACCUAUGAAAUCAGAAACCGAGUUUAUUGUCUACGGAAUCGGAAUUGGAAUCGAAAACUGCCAUAAACUCGAAUUAACUUUUUACGAGUUUAUGCUUUUAACUCAUACAA